GCAAAAAAUUUAGCCCUACUCUCCUCAUGCAAACAAAUUUUUAUUUAUUAAAUUAAAACAUUUUUAAAGCCUAGUAAAGGGGAUUAAAAAGCUUUCAGGAGCUAUAAAGACAGUACCGCAAGGGAAGAAUGAAAUAAAAAUGAAAUAAAACUUAAGCACAAAAAAGUAGAGCUUAACCCUCGUACCUUUUGCAUCAUGGUUUAACUAGUCUGAUCAAGCAAAAAGAAUUAUAGUUUGACCUCCCGAAACUAAGUGAGCUACUUCAGGGCAGCUUUAUGAGCCAACCCGUCUCUGUUGCAAAAGAGUGGGGAGACCUUCAAGUAGGGGUGACAGACCUACCGAACUUAGUGAUAGCUGGUUAUUCAAGAAAAGAAUAUUAGUUCAACUUAAAAUCUUAACAAUAUAACAAAAUUAGACCUAGAUUUUAAAGUUAUUCAAAUAAGGUACAGCCUAUUUGAAACAGGAUACAACCUCUUCUAAUGGGUAAAUUUUACUUUUACAGACAAGUAGGCCUAAUAGCAGCCAACUUUAAAAAAGCGUCAAAGCUUAUCUGUACUAAGAUCUAAUCCCCUCAUUCACAUUUAACCCUUUAUUUAUAUUGAAUACUUCUAUACCUCUAUAGAACAUUUUAUGUUAAAACUAGUAACAAGAAGAUAGAACUUCUCUUUAAUGCAUGCGUAAGUCAGCCAGGACUGACCACUGAUAAUUAACGUGUAUGAAUAAAUAGUAGUAACUUCACAAGAAAAACCUACUUAAACCCCCGUUAACCUUACACAAGAACAUUUAAAGAAAGAUUAAAAGAAAAGGAAGGAACUCGGCAAAUAUUAACCUCGCCUGUUUACCAAAAACAUCGCCUCUUGUUUUAUAUAAGAGGUCCAGCCUGCCCAGUGAUUUAAUUCAACGGCCGCGGUAUCCUAACCGUGCGAAGGUAGCGUAAUCACUUGUUCUUUAAAUGAGGACUAGUAUGAAUGGCAUCACGAGGGUUAUACUGUCUCCCUUUUUUAAUCAGUGAAACUAAUCCCCCCGUGAAGAAGCGGGGAUUGAACUAUAAGACGAGAAGACCCUAUGGAGCUUUAAACUAAUCAACAAUUGUUCUAAACUUAUCCCCCCUUCAGAGCCACAAUCCUUAUUUUAACAUUUUGUUUGCUAGUUUUCGGUUGGGGUGACCGCGGAACAUAAAACAACCUCCACGAUGAAAAAACUUUAUUUCUAAACCCAGAGUUACUACUCUAAGUAUCAAAAAUUUGACAUUUAUUGACCCAAUCUAUUGAUCAACGAACCAAGUUACCCUAGGGAUAACAGCGCAAUCCACUUC
rnacentral:rRNA from 1 species